CGCUCUCUAAAAAAAUUCUCUCUCUACAUCUCUCUCUCCGAUUUUUCUCUCCGCACUUGGUCGAGCGAAGGGGAGAACGAAGCAAUCCUUCGUCUGCGGAAGCCACGUUGAUUCUUGAAUAGUCUCUUUCGAAGACUUCUGCAGUGGAUUUUCGGAAGGUGGGGGCUUCUGCAAGUUUUUGCAGAAGGUUCCGCUCAUUCUCUCGGAUUGGUUUGAUCUUGCUUCAUGCGCAUGAGCUUUGACGAGGUGGAGUGAUUCCACUGAUUCUCUCUCCUCUCGGACGCCCGGAAGCUGAAUUCUCUCUCUCAGUAACUGCUUGGUAGAGCUUCCAUGGCAGAUCUCGGAUCCCUAGCCUCGAACGAUCCCCGUAGACAUCCGUGAUUCCUGAGGAGAAAAUCUCCACUUCGCUCGCCGUCCAUCGAAGGGAGUUUCCGCAUCUGUCUCCAGUACUUCUCCAUCGAGCUCAAGUCGAAGGCGGGGGUUUUCUCUCAUUAGCGAGGAUCGGAAAUUGAAGACCGGCGGUUGGGGAUUGCGAGGGGAGUUCCGUUUCGCUCUCGCUCUAACGAUUCUCACUCAGCGGAUCCCUCUCUUUCUCGGAGAUCAGACGCUUGCUCUCUGAAAACUCGAUCGGAGGUGCAGGGAUUCGGAAUUGCGCCGAGUUUGGAAGCCCCAACUCAGCUCCGAGGGCAGAACCAAAGAGUAGAUCUGCUGGUGUUCACGAAGACUACCUCACUCGAUCAAGCAUCAAAGUUUCACAAACAAGUGCGAAGGAUAGGUUAUUGCCAAGUCAAGCAGAAGGUGCUAGACUAAACGAUACACCGUGGAGAAGCCAUAUCCGGAAGUUUGAAGACUGCGGUCAUUACCUUUUCUUGGUGCGUUUCUCUCUUUCCAGAAGCUGAAAUUAUGCGUGAACUACUAUCUUGUUUAUGUCUUACAAUUUCAAUAGAUGGAAGAAGGAAAGGCACCCUAUGAAAGAAUUGAAGAACUUUUUGCGUGGCCACGAUCCUUUCUAGCUUGGUUUGCCAUAUCAACUGAAAAUGUCACAUAGGAAAAAAAAUAGAGAAACGUCUACUAGUCUGGAAUGCUCUUUUUACUGGAUGAAUAUUCCACUUCUGAAUUUGCACCGUCUUUAAUCUGAAUAGUGUGUCCUACCGAGGUGAAAUUCUGCAGAGCAAUUAAUUUUAAAGUCACUCAUUUUGAUUGAUAUUUCCAAUAGGCAUUCUGCAAUACUCAUGAGAUAAUCAUGCCAAAUCUAUUCUUCUGAGUAAUUUUUCUAGUAAUGCUAGCUUUAGUCUGCUCUUUAAUGAUCAUAUACACCUGAGACACUCAGAAUUGUUUUCAGAUACUCUUUCGUGCGGAUCACAGGUCUAGCUUUUUAGGGUCAUAAACUUACAGAGAAAUGAUAUCUCAGCGUAAAAACACAUUUGUAUGGAGAGACCUCUCAUUUGAAACUAAAAGUACGUGGAUAAUUCUUGAUUAUCUGAGGAUAUAUUGUUGUUGCCAUAUGUUGGAUCCCAUGCUGGUUUUAGUUUUAAUUACUGAGACCUUGCAAUGGAUAUAUCACAUCUUGGAUAUCUUGCCUUUCUUCUGGUUUUCUUUCGAAUGAGACUCAUUAUAUUGAAGAAGAGAAAGAGGAUUUUUAAGUUCUUGUAGAUAUACAACUUUACAGUUAUUGUUCUAUCUCUUGUAUAUCAAUCUCUUUCUGUUGGGGAUUUUUGUGCAAAAAGAAUGCAAGACAGCAAAUUAUAUACUUAAGGUGAUUGGUUUUCAGCUGA